ensembl:lncRNA
GGAAUAAUGUCUGAAUAUCCUGUAAAGUCCACUUCGUAUGGCGCUUAUGGUUGAAUAGAACAAACGUCUGAAGCGUUCAGAGAAACAUGCAGAAUGUGCAGAGUGGUACGCGAGGACUGGAAGUAAGAACCUGCUGCUAGAAGAACGUCUUUGAUCUUGACAUAAUUCGGUUAAAUAUAUUCGUGUGAACAGGUGGUGUGAUUGCUUAAAACGCAUGCUUACAGCACUGAAGUGUGUGUUUAGGAAUGCACGCGUUCCAGCUCUUCAUGGAAGUCAUUAGUUCUGUGUGGCUAUAUGGUAAUGUUUACUGUAUAGUGACGUUUACUUCAGUGAUGUAUUACAGUGUGCAGUAAUGUGAGACUUGUAUUUGGCAGCAGCUGGAGAUGUGGUGACGCGCGCUCAUCUGGAGUCGGUCCAGCAGCUCGUUUGAGUUGAAACAGCUCAAUAUGGACUGUAGGCGGAACCUGGCGGAGGAUCUAAACACGUCGUGCGUCAGCGCUAAAAUCUCCUUUCCGUGAGGGGUCUUUCUAGCGCUUCUUUCUGGAGAAGAACGCCGAUCUACAGGGUUUGUACCGCGCGUUGCGUCGCGUCGCGUCGCGUCGCUCUGACUGCAGCUCGGCUCCGCCCACGAUGCGGGGCGUGUCUCUGUGGGCGGGUUCGCGCGCGCUGCUGAUGUGAGGACGCAGGUGACGCGGCGCUUAGCAGCUCCCUUCGGAAGACGCGCAGGAUCGAGACGCGUUGCGCUCGGACGGAUACUGGACAUUACUCCGUACUGAGAUUCCAGUGAAAAGCGAAGGAAUUUGGGAAGAAGGAGAGACGGAGACGCAGGGAGUGCAUUGCGAAGAUCCUCCGCUGGGGUGCGAUAGACAACCUCUCUGAACAACCUGCAGAGCCUCACACACACACACAGACAGACAGACAGACAGACAGACAGAGAGGGGGAAAUAGUCUUCAUACACAGAGGUGGAUGAUGAUGCUGUGCAAGAUUUCGUUUCUUUCAUAUAGCUGGUGUGUGUAGGCUUGAAUUUAUUUUUCUCUGUACAAUUCAGACACCCCAUUGUGACUAUUUUCUCAUUAUUAUAACCGAGGGGUUUCUCCUCUUUCUCAGCUCCUCCAUCUGGGCCCAAAUAUCUGGAAAUGUCCUUGCAAUUAUAACAAAACCAUGGAACAAAAUAAAAAUAAAAUAAAUGCUACGCA